GGUGGCAAAGUGGUUAAGCAUUUGGCUUCUAACCAAAAGGCUGGCAGUUCAAAUCCACCAGCGACCG
rnacentral:tRNA from 1 species